rnacentral:lncRNA from 1 species
AAAAAGAGAAAAAUAGAGAAAACUAACACGAAAUUAGCUAAGGGGUGAACUCGUAUAACAUUUUUUCUUUAUUUUGUUUUUAUAUUAUUUAUUAAUUAAUUUGUUAAUCUUGUUUUGGAAUACAUUCUACUAUUUUAUUAUCCAGGAAAUCAGAAGACCUUACAGUUGGAGUUGUCACACUUGAAAAAGAUCUUAAGACACUCCAACAUCCAUCCACUGCCAUUGAACUCUUCAUGUAAAUAUGGUCAUCUAAAAUAUGUUUCUAAUUUUGUACUUUUGAUUUAUUGGUUACUAACAAUCAUUAUUACAGGGAGGAAUUUGAAAAUAAUUAUAAAGAAAUAAAUGUUGAUUCAAAGAAUGUUGAAAGAGUAAGUGAAAUUAAAAAAAUUGAUAUUUUAAUUAUUUGAAGUCAUUGGUAAUUAACAUUUCUUUUGAAAAAAUAGGUUCAUAAAAAGGCUUUUAAAGCAUGGAAGUGUAUGACAAAUGAAGUAAGUCUAAGUAUUUUUAUUUUAUUUUAAGUAAUUUAAUAUUGAUUGACUUAAUUAUGAUAUUUGAA